AAUCAACGCUGGCGGCGUGCCUCAGACAUGCAAGUCGAACGAUUAAAGCUCUCUUCGGAGAGUGCAUAAAGUGGCGCACGGGUGAGUAACACGUAAGUAAUCUGCCCUCGAGUGGGGAAUAACGUCCGGAAACGGACGCUAAUACCGCAUAACGCAGCGGCACCGCAAGGUGACAGUUGUUAAAGGAGCAAUCCGCUUGAGGAGGAGCUUGCGGCAGAUUAGCUUGUUGGUAGGGUAACGGCCUACCAAGGCUACGAUCUGUAACCGGUCUAAGAGGACGGUCGGUCACACUGACACUGAACAACGGGUCAGACUCCGACGGGAGGCAGCAGUCGGGAAUUUUGGGCAAUGGGGGAAACCCUGACCCAGCAACGCCGCGUGAAGGAUGAAGUAUUUCGGUAUGUAAACUUCGAAAGAAUAGGAAGAAUUAAUGACGGUACUAUUUAUAAGGUCCGGCUAACUACGUGCCAGCAGCCGCAGUAAAAC
rnacentral:rRNA from 1 species